GAUGAAGAACGUAGCGAAAUGCGAUAAGUAAUGUGAAUUGCAGAAUUCAGUGAAUCAUCGAAUCUUUGAACGCACAUUGCGCCCGCCAGUAUUCUGGCGGGCAUGCCUGUCUGAGCGUCAUUUCAACCCUCAUGCCCCUAGGGCGUGGUGUUGGGGAUCGGCCAAAGCCCGCGAGGGACGGCCGGCCCCUAAAUCUAGUGGCGGACCCGUCGUGGCCUCCUCUGCGAAGUAGUUUUCUCCUCGCAAGGGCAGCUCGACGACGACCACGCCGUAAAACCCCCAACUUCUGAAAGGUUGACCUCGAAUCAGGUAGGAAUACCCGCUGAACUUAAGCAUAUCAAUAAGCGGAGGA
rnacentral:misc_RNA from 1 species